rnacentral:tRNA from 7 species
GGGGACGUAGCCCAGUGGCUUAAGGCUCCGGACUGUCGAUCCGGUGAUCGUGGGUUCGAAUCCCAUCGUCCCCGCUA